AGCAGCCGCGGUAAUUCCAGCUCCAAUAGCGUAUAUUAAAGUUGUUGCAGUUAAAAAGCUCGUAGUUGAAUUUCGGGAUCAGUAGGUCGGUCGUGCCACUGGUAUGAACUGGUCUCACUGGUUCCUCCCUCUUGACGAACUGCAAUGCUAUUAAUUUAGUGUAGUAGGAAAUCAAGACUGUUACUUUGAAAAAAUUAGAGUGUUUAAAGCAAGCUUUGGCUUGAAUACAUUAGCAUGGAAUAAUGAAAUAGGACGUUCGAUCCUAUUUUGUUGGCUUCUAGGAUUGACGUAAUGAUUAAUAGGGACAGUUGGGGGCAUUAGUAUUCAAUUGUCAGAGGUGAAAUUCUUGGAUUUAUUGAAGACUAACUACUGCGAAAGCAUUUGCCAAGGAUGUUUUCAUUAAUCAAGAACGAAAGUUAGGGGAUCGAAGACGAUCAGAUACCGUCGUAG
rnacentral:rRNA from 1 species